UUAUUUUUAUGUCGAAAAUAUACAAGAACUGGGAUGUGUGGUGAGAGCCUCAAAUAAGUAGUUCCUUCAGACUGAAAUCAGCUGUACAGUCGAAAUGUCAGAACUUAACAAAAGACUAUCAAGAACUCUUGAGCAAUGUUGUUGACCUUCAUCCACAUAACCAUUAGCUGAAAGAAGCUGUAGAUGUAAGCAUUCCCUAUACUCUGUUUGUCGGCAAAGAGCACUCCAAAGAAAUAAUAGCAAAAGCAAGCCAGGAUGGCAUAAAAUGGGAUACAAUCCUUCUUUUCACAGCUGACUAAUUUUAAAGACCAAAAGAAAUACAAGACAUCGAAAGCUACACUUUCGAGGGAAGUGAGGGCAACACCCAUAAGGCUGAACCAAAGGAAGGCAGUAAGAUGGUGAAUGAUAAACAGCAGAAAGGCACAAAUAUGCGAUAAUGAACAUCUCCACCUACUCUGUCAGAAUGCUCCUUUUAGAGCAUUACAAACAUUAACUUGGAAGAAAAGGAAGGAUCUAUGAUCUUUGGAUUGCAGAAGCCACAAGGAAGGGCUUUUGCGACUGAAGACACUGAGAUGGCUGGCUAAUGAGCUGAAAAAUGACUAUGAGGAACUUUUGAAGAAACUGAAUAUUAAGCAGAGCAAAAUGCAGGCAAUAAAAUCCAAAUGCCCAGAGAAUGUGAACGAACAAUCAUAGACAUAAUUAUUUGCUGGAGGAAUAGCCAGCCUAGGUUCACUGAUAAAGUUGCAAUCUUGGCAACUGAGUUAACCUAGUGCAAAUGUCAAGACCGAGCUAUUGCAACAUAUGAAAAUGUUAUACCUGUAAAUGAUAAAUGACUAGAUUGUCAGUGCUUUACAGUCAAUUUGGUUUUCUGAAAAUAUUCAUAGCUAACUUCAACAUUCAUUCUGCAGCAAUGAUGUAUUAAUAUGUAUCAUACUAACUAAAUUGUUAAAUCAUAGGGGAUUAUUUCAAAAGCUGUCAAUAAACCCUACAUUUAUGAAUAAUCCCUUGGAAGAAU